AUGAGAUUAAAGACCUCCUCGUUGCACAGAGAAGGUCUAACAGACAGACCGUGUUUGACACAGCAGCUCCUUCUGCCUUCCUCUCCAAAAAGCCCUCCUGUGGGGCUGCAGUCUGCUCAGUCCUUGGACCUAGAUUCACCACACCAAAGCUACUGGUAACUAACCGUUCUGUGACUACACUAUUACAGUCCAACAGAACGUCACUCAUUAUAAACAGCCUCUAGAAAUGUAAACACAAUUCAACCCGUGUAAUCCCACUCGGCCUAGAAUAUCAUAAUCCCAGUCAAUGUAAAGGGGCAGUAUGUAUUUCCUGUCGCCUCCUCAUGCCACUGGCCACCAGUCACACUACUUGGCGCUGUUGGAUACCCAAGACCCUGCCUCCCUGCUGCUGUGGGUCAUCAGCCUCCUGAAGAGAGAGGAUAAAUCAUGGUUUGAUUGAAAAAGUGAAAAACAGCCACAUCCAUCCAUAGAAUGAAGGUGGAGCAACAGUGAAUCAGAGAGGAAGAGAGCGGCAGGUGCAACCAUCCCUUGGUUCUGCUGAUCCCACCAAGUUCCACUACUGUGAAGAACUGUGUUCACUAUUCAUCUGAAAAAGUUUGCUCAAUUGUUUGAAUUGAUGUUUAUAUAUAAAAAAAUAAGUGAAUAAAUAUUUCUAAAUCCCAAAACAUAACUAUUAUACGGUGUGGUUAUACAGUGGGGAGAACAAGUAUUUGAUUACGCUGCCGAUUUUCCUACUUACAAAGCAUGUAGGUACACUUCAACU